rnacentral:rRNA from 1 species
GACAGAUACUGACACUCAGAUGCGAAAGCGUGGGGAGCAAACAGGAUUAGAUACCCUGGUAGUCCACGCCGUAAACGAUGUCUACUUGGAGGUUGUGGCCUUGAGCCGUGGCUUUCGGAGCUAACGCGUUAAGUAGACCGCCUGGGGAGUACGGUCGCAAGAUUAAAACUCAAAUGAAUUGACGGGGGCCCGCACAAGCGGUGGAGCAUGUGGUUUAAUUCGAUGCAACGCGAAGAACCUUACCUACUCUUGACAUCCAGAGAACUUUCCAGAGAUGGAUUGGUGCCUUCGGGAACUCUGAGACAGGUGCUGCAUGGCUGUCGUCAGCUCGUGUUGUGAAAUGUUGGGUUAAGUCCCGCAACGAGCGCAACCCUUAUCCUUGUUUGCCAGCGAGUAAUAUCGGGAACUCCAGGGAGACUGCCGGUGAUAAACCGGAGGAAGGUGGGGACGACGUCAAGUCAUCAUGGCCCUUACGAGUAGGGCUACACACGUGCUACAAUGGCGCAUACAGAGGGCGGCCAACUUGCGAAAGUGAGCGAAUCCCAAAAAGUGCGUCGUAGUCCGGAUUGGAGUCUGCAACUCGACUCCAUGAAGUCGGAAUCGCUAGUAAUCGUGGAUCAGAAUGCCACGGUGAAUACGUUCCCGGGCCUUGUACACACCGCCCGUCACACCAUGGGAGUGGGCUGCAAAGGAAGUAGGUAGUUUAACCUUCGGGGGGACGCUUACCACUUUGUGGUUCAUGACUGGGGUGAAGUCGUAACAAGGUACCA